CAGCACCUCAAGUGGUCAGGAUGAUUAUUGGGCCUAAAGCAUCCGUAGCCGGCGCUGUAAGUUUUCGGUUAAAUCUGUACGCUCAACGUACAGGCUGCCGGGAAUACUGCAGCGCUAGGGAGUGGGAGAGGUAGACGGUACUCGGUAGGAAGGGGUAAAAUCCUUUGAUCUAUUGAUGACCACCUGUGGCGAAGGCGGUCUACCAGAACACGUCCGACGGUGAGGGAUGAAAGCCAGGGGAGCAAUCCGGAUUAGAUACCCGAGUAGUCC
rnacentral:rRNA from 1 species